GGAGGGGUGGCAGAGCCUGGUUUAUUGCACCGGUCUUGAAAACCGGCGUACCGCAAGGUACCGGGGGUUCGAAUCCCUCCCCCUCCGCCC
rnacentral:tRNA from 2 species